UGGUGUUACUGCGAAGGGGGGACGGAGAAGGCUAUGUUAGCCGGGCGACGGUUGUCCCGGUUUAAGCAUGUAGGCUGGUUAUCCAGGCAAAUCCGGAUAAUCAAGGCUGAGGUGUGAUGACGAGGCACUACGGUGCUGAAGUAACAAAUGCCCUGCUUCCAGGAAAAGCCUCUAAGCAUCAGGUAACAUCAAAUCGUACCCCAAACCGACACAGGUGGUCAGGUAGAGAAUACCAAGGCGCUUGAGAGAACUCGGGUGAAGGAACUAGGCAAAAUGGUGCCGUAACUUCGGGAGAAGGCACGCUGGUGUGUAGGUGAAGUCCCUGCGGAUGGAGCUGAGACCAGUCGAAGAUACCAGCUGGCUGCAACUGUUUAUUAAAAACACAGCACUGUGCAAACACGAAAGUGGACGUAUACGGUGUGACGCCUGCCCGGUGCCGGAAGGUUAAUUGAUGGGGUUAUCCGUAAGGAGAAGCUCUUGAUCGAAGCCCCGGUAAACGGCGGCCGUAACUAUAACGGUCCUAAGGUAGCGAAAUUCCUUGUCGGGUAAGUUCCGACCUGCACGAAUGGCGUAAUGAUGGCCAGGCUGUCUCCACCCGAGACUCAGUGAAAUUGAACUCGCUGUGAAGAUGCAGUGUACCCGCGGCAAGACGGAAAGACCCCGUGAACCUUUACUAUAGCUUGACACUGAACAUUGAGCCUUGAUGUGUAGGAUAGGUGGGAGGCUUUGAAGCGUGGACGCCAGUCUGCGUGGAGCCAACCUUGAAAUACCACCCUUUAAUGUUUGAUGUUCUAACGUUGGCCCCUGACCGGGGUUGCGGACAGUGUCUGGUGGGUAGUUUGACUGGGGCGGUCUCCUCCCAAAGCGUAACGGAGGAGCACGAAGGUUAGCUAAUCCUGGUCGGACAUCAGGAGGUUAGUGCAAUGGCAUAAGCUAGCUUGACUGCGAGCGUGACGGCGCGAGCAGGUGCGAAAGCAGGUCAUAGUGAUCCGGUGGUUCUGAAUGGAAGGGCCAUCGCUCAACGGAUAAAAGGUACUCCGGGGAUAACAGGCUGAUACCGCCCAAGAGUUCAUAUCGACGGCGGUGUUUGGCACCUCGAUGUCGGCUCAUCACAUCCUGGGGCUGAAGUAGGUCCCAAGGGUAUGGCUGUUCGCCAUUUAAAGUGGUACGCGAGCUGGGUUUAGAACGUCGUGAGACAGUUCGGUCCCUAUCUGCCGUGGGCGCUGGAGAAUUGAGGGGGGCUGCUCCUAGUACGAGAGGACCGGAGUGGACGCAUCACUGGUGUUCGGGUUGUCAUGCCAAUGGCACUGCCCGGUAGCUAAAUGCGGAAGAGAUAAGUGCUGAAAGCAUCUAAGCACGAAACUUGCCCCGAGAUGAGUUCUCCCUGAGACU
rnacentral:rRNA from 1 species